rnacentral:rRNA from 2 species
GAAUGCUGACAUAAGUAACGAUAAAGCGGGUGAAAAGCCCGCUCGCCGGAAGACCAAGGGUUCCUGUCCAACGUUAAUCGGGGCAGGGUGAGUCGACCCCUAAGGCGAGGCCGAAAGGCGUAGUCGAUGGGAAACAGGUUAAUAUUCCUGUACUUGGUGUUACUGCGAAGGGGGGACGGAGAAGGCUAUGUUAGCCGGGCGACGGUUGUCCCGGUUUAAGCAUGUAGGCUGGUUAUCCAGGCAAAUCCGGAUAAUCAAGGCUGAGGUGUGAUGACGAGGCACUACGGUGCUGAAGUAACAAAUGCCCUGCUUCCAGGAAAAG